GCACCACCAAAAUCUAGUCCCCUGGACACGUGGUCAGGAUUGAACUGUGUGGCCUAUGUAACUCUAGAACUGAACUCAAUUCACAAUCUGGGGAAUGGUGUGAACGUACCAGGCCUGGCAGAGAAAAAUCACCUGAGGAAUCCUGUUUCUAGAUUUCCAAAUCUGUCAGCGAAAUGCAGAGGAAGCAUGGGAAAUCUCUAAGGGGAGAGACAAGUUUGACCUGACAAACAGUGGCACCGAACUGACAAAUGGCUGCGAAAGCUCUUUUGUGGGUGUGUGAGUCACUGAGGUUUGGGGAAUUAUUUUCAGAGCAAUGAUUCUACUUAGUAGAGUCCCAAAAGAGAGAAAAAAAUAUAAAUCCCCUUAUGAACUGAGGACGCCAUUUACACCACAGUACACACUGCUGCCUUGUUUAUCUCUUUACCAAUUGAUUCGUCAUGUCCUUAAAGUUUAGUUUCUAACAUUGUAUGUAUAUCGUCUACAACUCCUCUAACAGCAAGAAGAUAUUGUGCUAGGCAAGGGUACAGUGGAAAGCAAGACGAUAGGAAAUCCAUGAAAAACGGUAGUAUGAGGGGCAUCAAGUCCACUGAAGAGCCACCAUCUUGAAAAGCUGGGGAAGAGUUCUGAAGCCUGUGAAUAAAUUAAAUCAACUAGAUGGUUUGGGGAGGAACAGGAAUGAGCACGGAGCACUCGAAGGUCAUGUGGGCCUCUUAGUUUAGAUUCCACUUGGACCAUUGCUUAACGUUCAUAGCUAAACCUCAAACUGAUUCUAACACUGAAAAAAAAGGAACAAAACCACAAGCAACAAAUCCCGUGGGCCCAAAUUACAUAGAUUUAUGUCAGGGCCAGGCACAAGUUACCCAGUCUUGCUGAAUGGGCCUAUUUCCCAUCCCAUACAGUAGAAAGGUAAUACCCUGCAGAGUGUUAGGAGAAAGAAUCUGUAUCCAGCCAUAACCAGCCCUUCAAGAAGCAGAAGGCAGCUCUGAGAUGCUAUGUAGCAUUGUCAGAGCUUAGGAAUCAAGCAUCCCUGGGUUCAAAUCCCAUUCUCCACUAAUAGAUGAGUUCUUUUAGGAGAGAACAUUGAAAUGAGAUGAUCUGUAUCCCCAGAUUUAGGAAGCAAUUAGCUUUUUCAGCUACCUUCAAGCAUAGAUCUUAAGUUAAAAGUGUGUCCAUGGCAUCCCACUACCUGCUUUCAUGCUGUGCCUGGUGUCUAAAGGGGCAUUUGUGCACACAACACAAAUAUUCAAACAGGAUAUCCCAAGACAUGCUACAACAUGCCAGCACCCCACACAAAGCAUUGCAUAAGACGCUUGAGUUACACAUUAUCCAGCCAGCUCCACCAUCUGAUAAACAGAGAAAAGACAGGAAGUAAAUGCACUCUGUCCAGAACACGGAGUCUCCGGACUCGUUCUUCAUUCAUGAGUCCCAGACUCCUAGUCUGCCUAGAGCCUUGGACUGCCAGCCUGCAUGCCAAAGUUACUUUUAAAAUUAAAUAUGUUGGCUUGGAUGAGUUCAGCAGCUGGUGACGUGGGUAGAGAACAAGAAGCAAAUGGGCUGUAGAUGAUCACCUCAGACCAUACCAAUCAAGUGUUCUGUGGAGGCAGGAACUAGGGGCUGAAUGAAACCACCUCUGAGGAUGGGGAAGGGAAAGAGAAGAAGGGGGGGGGGGCAUCUCAAGAAAAGGAGCAACAAGCAACAGUAGGGUACCUCUCCAGAAUGUGCCACCUUUAUUCAAAGACCCAACAGAUAGCCUGAACCUGCCAGAAGAAGGGUUCUGGGCUUGAUCCAUUUAUGAAAAUACCAACUGGACAGGCAGGUGACCUGACAAGGUCACAGGUGCUCCUUGCUUUACAAAACUCAUUGUAGGGACAGAUCUCAUAGGGUUCACAUCAGAGUGACUCUGGAGGAGAGGUAGCGUGUACAGUACAGUGAGUGGGGGUGGGGUUGGAGUAGGAGAGUACAACUGAAGGGAUGUCAGGCUGAGGGGUGUUGAAGGAUAUAACCGUGGAACCCCAUUGUUAAUCACAUCUGCAUCAGCCAAGGUCCCAUUGAUGCCAGCGCCAGCAUUACCAAAGGAUAAUGAGUUUUGGUAUUGGCAGUUCAGAGUCCCAGCAGGACCCUCAGCUGGAAAUAGAAACGUCUUCUGAGAGUCCCUAGCUAAGCCUCUACACCUCUCAGCACAUAUUCCUUACAGGAUGAGUCUCAAAAUAACCCUAUACCUCUAAACGAUCAUCCCAGACUAUAUCAAGUGUUCUGUGCAAGCAGAAACUAGAGGCCUAAUGAAACCAGCUCUGAAUAUGGAGAAGGAAAAGAGAAAUGGGGAAGGGAGGAGAAGGGGAGAGGGAUAAAAUGCUUUACUACCAGAGACUCAUCAAACAGGAAAGUAAAGUUAGGUCAUUUGAAGGGAGGAUGGCUCACCUGGACUCCACACUGCUUCCCUCAACCUCAGCAUGUGAGACAUGCUUCAUACCACAACUCAGGAGACAGGAUUGGGGGUGUGGCUUUGGAUGGGGGAGAGUGGAAGCCCAUAGAAGUGAGAUCAUGAGAUCACAGGGAAGAGAUAAGAUGGGGAGGGUGCACGCAGGUCAAGAAGGAGGACCAUCAGAAGUGGGCUGAGAAAGAAGGGACAGUAAAGAGCAAAACUAAUAGCGACCAAAAAAGGGGAAAAGAGGAAAAGAUAAAGAAAGACAGAGAAGCUGAGGGUGGUUCUGAAAGAGGAAGAGCAGGUCUCCACUAUGCUGUCCCAUGUACUUGCCCUCUCGGCCACUCCUUAGCUGCCUGACGAUCAGACUGGUGCCAUAAAACUAUGGUCAUAGGACAUUUCUCUUAUGGCACCCAUAGACGAGAUAGAGGUUCCAUAGCAUGAUUCAGUUUGGGUAAGUCUGCACCAUGAUGCUAACAGUCAGCCAGCCAAGGGUGCCUUUCUCAAAAGGGACACAUAACCAUGUUUCUGGCAAAGGGAUGAUGAGUGAGAACUAUGUGUCAUUUAAGAGCAGAACAAGUUUGCUUCUUUCUCUGCAGCCCUUCUAAGUGACUCAUAGGAUGCCAGCUACACUCUCACAAAGUGAACCAAGCCAGAGACGAAGAGCUUCCCUGGGAUUGUUCAAGAAAAACAUCUUCCCACUGAGACUUGGGAUUCAAAGAAUUGUCCAUUCCUGCCACUUGACCUGACAGUAGAGAGAUGAGUUUACUGCUUAGAUUGCCUCCUGAAGAAUGUGUUAGUCUACUGACUAGGGAGUGAUUACAAUGGGCAGGGAGUCUGUUUGAAUCCACCAUGGCAACACCGACAGACCUCACCACAAAAACUAUUCUAAACCAAACAGAAGGCACGCCUCAGUAAUAUCUCCUUGUGUGUGGUGGUAUUUAAUACCGUGUUUUUAACUAUUGUCACUAAUGUAAGAGAAGAGUAAUGCAGAGAGAAGUCCUAUAAUACCAACUUUCCCAUCAGUCUCACUCACAAAUUAAACAUCCCAAUCUUUCUUGGGGCUAGGGUUCCGUUGAUAGAAUGCUUGCCUAGCAUGCGAAAAGUCCUGGUUCUAUCCCUGGCAGCACAUAAACUGGGCAUGAUGGCUCACAUAUAUAAUCCCAGUACAUGAGAGGAGAAAGCAGGAAAGUUAGAAAUUCAGGUUCAUUUCUAGAUGCAUAAAGUUUGAGGCCAGCCCUAGGCUACAUGAGACCCUUUUUGUUAAAAAAGAGCAAAAACCAAACAACAUUUCUGAAUUAUAAUGUCCUUGUAUGUAUUUGAAAAUACAUACUACUACUACUUUGAAAAUAUCAUUUAUAUAAGAUAUGAUAAUGUAUGCCUGUAAAGUCAGCACUAAGGCAGUGACUGCAAGUUAGAGGUUAACCCAGGAAAUAACAAGACCCUGUCUCAAAUAAAACAAAACAAAAAGAUUGCCAUCUAGCCUAUCUUGAGAUUAGACUGCAAAGGGUAGCAUAUCUACCGUCUGCCCCUGUAAUUCUAGAACACACUUCUUCAGAGUCGAGUCUUGGCACAAAUAACUCGGGUUAACUCCUUAGCCCACAGGACUUUGAGGGGAAACGGAAGCAUCUCAGAGGGAAGAGGGAUUGAGGCUAGGGCUGACCAACUGAAGGUAUUCUAACAAACGGUGAAUUUCAGGUGACAUCGUCAAGCAGUAAUUGUCAUUAGAAUUCAGCUCUGCACAUAGGGUGAUUCAUGCCUUUUGCAGAAGUGACCAAUACAGAUGUUGGGCCAUAAAUUUCAGGAAGUUAAACUGCGUGCUGUCACAUAAAUCUUAAGGGACGUUCUUGGUGUCUUUCAUCUAGUCUGCUUAAUAUGUCAGGCUGACUCACUUGUACAUUCUGGUGCUUCAAGUACCAUCUAGCUCUAAAGCCUUUUUCGAGAUCCCCUUUCCCCAUCACAAGAUAACUAGAAUGGCCUAUAUGAAACCUAAUCCUAAGCGGUCGUCCUGCGUUGUGCUCUCAGGCUCUCUUUGGCUCUCAAGCAAAGGUUGAACUCCCAAACACACCCCUCAACGCUCUCUGACAUCUGCCCAACCCUCCACCUCCUCUCCCUCAUCCAUUGGAACUAGUCCCAGCCCCUACCAAUAAUCCUACGUCUUACACAUGGAGUUCCCUCUGUCCUUUCUCUUCUGCAGAUUGAGGCUCAUCGUUAAGAUUCAGCUCUAUUAGGGAUGGAGAGAUGGCUUCACAGUUAGAAGCUCUGAUUGCUCUUCUGAAGACCCUAGUUCAGUUCUCACCUGACAGCUCACAGCCAUCUCUAACUCUGGCUUCAGGGGACCUGGUGCCUUCUUCUGGUCCCUCAAGCACUGCACAAGUGAAACACAGGCAAAACACCCAUGCACAUAAAGAUUUUAAUUAAAAAAUGUGGCUUCUAAUGCUAAUCCCCACACCGAGUACAGACAGGCACACCAUAUGCUCUGAAAAGGGAAUGCUGAACAAGUAAGGAUGCAUUGAAAAGUCAGUGCCAAACUCACCGACUUACUGGUCAUAACUAUCUGUGGGAGGAGUUAUUAAGCUUUUGGUAAUUGCUUCUGUCUAGACGGUAAGCAAGCAAUCUGAAAGCCAUGUAUCCAAACUAAGCUUAAGAAGACAAUCUUUAAAGACACUUGGGAGGAGGCUUACACUAAGUUUAGCAUCACCACCAGAAUGGUAAACAGAAGCAGGACCACUUGUUGUUGGUUUCGGUUUUGGGUUUUUUUGUUUUUUUGUUUUUUUGGUUUGUUUGUUUGUUUGUUCUAGGAGAUGGUUGAAAAGCACCGUUUUCCUGGAAUAUUUUAUAACACUUUAUUACACUGAAGUAUGGGUAGGAGGCGCAAUUGUGUCCCAGUGCCCGUGUGGCGAUCAGAAGACCAUGUAGGUGUCUGUCUUCUUCCACCAUAUGGGUCCUGGGGAUGGAACUCAGGUCACACAAGGCUUGUCAGCACAGGAUGUUACCUCACGAGCCAUCUCAUCUAACCUCAAGAGAGUUUUGUUUCUUGCACAACCCAGAAGACUACUAGACACUUUGAGAUUAAAAAUAAGCCAGUUUUGAGGCUUUAGGGCAUAAACUGAUAUUCGAAAAGAACAUCAGCUGUUCACUUAGAAACUGAGGCAGUGAUUAGUCGUGGGUAGUGUAUAGCUCGUGUAUACUCCGGACAACUUUAAGAAAUGAAUCAACCUUUAGUAGAGAUCCUAUCACUUCUCCACACACAACCCGAACCAUAGCAAUUGGUUUUGUUUGAAAUGUUUAGUUUCAAACCCGAUUCCUGCUGUUGUUCUUGUUGUUCUUGUUGUUGCGGUCGUCGUCGUCGUCCUCGUCGUUUUCCAUAGUGGGUAGCUGGCACUGAGGAAGGAGAAGCUGAGAAACUAAGGUGGGUUACACAGUGAAGCAGUGGUGGGGCUCCCCAAAUCAAGGCAGAGACGAAGAGGAUCAGAGAAGGAAACUUCAUGAGGAAAAUAAAGGGAAAGCUAAAUGAGGUGUUAGCCAGAAUCAUCAUAAGUUGGAAGAAACUUGAAUGUGCAUUGUUUCCCUCUGGAGGCGUGGCUAUAAUUGUGUUCAUGAUUCUAAAGGGUUAUGCUUGGCUUGGGUUGUUUUUUUUUUUUUUAUGCUGAUUCUAACUGAGCCAAUAUGAGUACACCUCGCAAAGUCAACCUUCCAAGUCAACUUAAACUUAAACUUAAAGCUUUAAAUAAAUGUAGUUUCCUACAGCUAAGAUUUUAACAACUAGAGUUUUGCUGCGAUGAAUAUACAUCUUAAGGUUUAAGUCAAAAUUCCCUGGUACUAAUAAAACCUCUUUGGGGGAUUACAGGACUGUGCUUAGCAACAGAUCCAAACUGAAUCUACACAUAACAAAAUAUGAGAUAGGUCAGAUGUAAAUUCAGAAACAAGAGGAUUUAGAUUUUUUUUUAAAUGAGAUCUAGAAACUAAGUUUACAUAUUGUUUAAUUCAAUCCCAACAAUGGAACAGAUACGGUGCUGAGGCCCAGGGAGGCUUGGAAACGUUAUUUGGCUUGUUAUGGCCACGUACAGACGAGAACCUAGGCUCUAAUUCCCAACAAGUCUCUCUGAUGACUGCUCCACGCCUGGGUAAAACUCAGAGCCUCCUACUGAAGACAUUUCCAUCAAAGUGACCCAAGUUCAACAUGUGGCUGUUGAAACACGGCCGAAGUGGCAUUAAUGAAGUUUGGAGUGUGUUUCUGGGUGUGACAGAAUGCUGGUGACACAGUAAUUUCUUGUCAACACCUCCCGGAAGCUGCUCUGGUACCCUUCUAAUUGCCAUGCUCACCAGCAGGCAGGCUAAAGGUUCAGCUUUUACAAGUGUCCCUUUCCCUAUAAUAACACCCACGUGACAUUUAGAAAAGUUCACUCUGCUAGGAUCCUGGGUAUCCCUAAAAAGUGAGAGCCUUGUGGAAAAGCAAGGCGGGGAGGGUGCAGUGGAAGAUAAUUCCAAAGCAAGCCCAGAGAAUGGAAGUGGCUGGCAGCUCCAUGCUACCCUUCUGUUGCUAAGGCCGCGGGGUUCCAUGGUUACCGAACUCUGGAGUCACCUCAAACCUGGUGAAGUGUUCCGAUAGACUUUCUUCUUUGAUCUGGGUAGGAGUCUGAGAUUCCUGUUAGGGUCUCAAGAGCGAUGGCUUUGCGGAGAAACAUCACAGAAGCCACCCCCAGUCAAGGCUGUGCAGAGAAACUAAACAGAGCUCAGAACGCAGCUGGAGUGUCCAUCCUCGCCCUCCGGUCCGACCGGGCAGGUCCCCCCUGCCCGGCGAUUUUCUGGCUCCCCAGCAGCCGCUUGCCAGCCAGGCCAUAAAUACCCCGGCGAUUAUUAAACAAACCUUGACGUGGCGGCCGGCUGCCAAGGACCCGCGGCUAGCGUCCGAGCAACGCCCCGCCCCCAACUCCUCGCGCCUAGCCUUGGGACCUUGGGGACCCGCCACUACCGCGACCUCCCCCAACCCCCACCGUGGCGCUGCGGGCCCAGGGCGAAGGCAUCGAAGCCAUCGGAACUCCCUCUGAAGGACAUCCAGACCUUGGGGUGAAGAAAAACAACCAACACCCAUCAGUGGAAGAAUCAGCUGGUUCAGAUGGACGCCAAAGGCACGUUCCUCAGCUGGGAAGCACUGAAACCAAGGUUGCCUGUGUAGUGCCAAUGCCUGCGUGCAUUCUCUCUGGCCAGACCAGAAUUAUCUUCCUGCUCCAUGCCCAGUUUGCCUAAAAUACACAGAAAAAUGCAGAAA